rnacentral:rRNA from 1 species
UACGGAGGGGGCUAGCGUUGUUCGGAAUUACUGGGCGUAAAGCGCGCGUAGGCGGACCUGCAAGUCGGGGGGUGAAAGCCCGAGGCUCAACCUCGGAACUGCCUUCGAUACUGCGGGUCUCGAGUCCGGGAGAGGUGAGUGGAAUUCCGUAGUGUAGAGGUGGAAUUCGUAGAUAUUAGGAAGAACACCAGUGGCGAAGGCGGCUCACUGGUCCGGUACUGACGCUGAGGUGCGAAAGCGUGGGGGAGCAAACAGGG